rnacentral:rRNA from 1 species
ACAUCUAAAAAUCUUAAACUAUACCACCAAUAAAAUCAUCCUAAUAUCAACUACUAAAUACCUCUUAAAACUAAAGUACUAUAAAGGAAUAAAUUAUACUCAAAAGUAGUAUAUAACCCACGUACCUUGUGCAUUAUGGUUUUACAAGCUAAACAAUUAAAAAUCUAUUCCCGAAACCUACGCGAGCUGUCUUUAUAUAGUUAAGAACCCCCCACUAGUUAUAGCACCAACUUUGGAAAAUAUAUUGACAGAGGCUACAUACCAACCGCGCUAGGUAAUUGCUGGUUUUCAGUAAAAUUUAUAAAUUAAAACAUGUAAAGACCUACAAUGUUAAACUACAGAGGAUAAGCCCUGUAAUUAAAAGCUAAUUCUACCACUUUAAUAAAUUUUUUAGGCCUAAAAACAGCCAUCUUUAAUACGUUACUGUAAAACUAAUAUAAUUAAUCUAAAACAUGCCCCAAAUACCUGAAAUUAAGGACUAAUUUACAUCUUUACAUACUAUGUAAAAAUAAGUAUUAAAAUUAUAAUCUCUAAACUAAACUAAAUUCUAUAAACCUAACAAAUGCUUAUAAAGGAACUCGGCAAACCUUAUUUCGACUGUUUACCAAAAACAUUGCUUCCUGAACACUCAUAAGAAGUAAUUCCUGCCCAGUGACUCAUUUAACGGCCGCGGUAUCCUAACCGUGCAAAGGUAGCAUAAUCACUUGCCCAUUAAUUGUGGGCUAGAAUGAACGGACUAACGAAAUAAAGACUGUCUCUAUAAGCCCCCUAAAAAUUAAUCUCUAACUGAAGAGUGUUAGAUUCUCUCGAAGGACAAGAAGACCCUAUAGAGCUUUAUUUAACUUUUUUUUUUAAAAAAAAAAUAAAUUCGGUUGGGGCGACCCGGGAAAAAUUAAACCUCCCUUCCAAAUAGAUCUAUUUAUCACACCUUUGACCCUUAAAUAAGAUCAUAAAAUCAAGCUACCUUAGGGAUAACAGGCUAAUCCCACUAAAGAGUCCUUAUCAACAGUGGGGUUUGGCACCUCGAUGUUGGCUUAGGGAAUCCAUACGGCGCAAAAGUCGUAAAAAGAUGGUUUGUUCAACCAAUAAUACCCUACAUGAGCUGAGUUCAGACCGGCGUAAGCCAGGUUAGUUUCUAUCCUCGAUAAUAAGUCUACUUAUAGUACGAAAGGACCUAAGUAGAAUAAUAGUUAUAAAUCAAGAAACUAUAUAACCCAAAAUUAAAAAUUUAUAAAUAUAAACUAUA